rnacentral:rRNA from 1 species
UACGUAGGGGGCAAGCGUUGUCCGGAUUUAUUGGGCGUAAAGAGCGUGUAGGCGGCCUGAAAGGUCAGCUGUGAAAACUCGAGGCUCAACCUCGAGACGUCGGUUGAAACCAUCUGGCUAGAGUCCGGAAGAGGAGUGUGGAAUUCCCGGUGUAGCGGUGAAAUGCGCAGAUAUCAGGAGGAACACCGGUGGCGAAGGCGGGUCUCUGGGCCGAAACUGACGCUGAGGAGCGAAAGCGUGGGGAGCGAACAGG